ensembl:lncRNA
GACUCAUCUCAGAGGCCUUUCUGGUGACCAUAUUGUGAUUGGGGGUGGGGUGGGGGUGUCUGUGUGUUGCUAAGCACCCCACCCAAGCCCACUGUGAAGAGCUAUUCUAUUGUUUAGGACCAAACUCUUCAACAUGGAGGACACUUAUGGCUGCCAAGGGCAUGAAAUGGGACAAAUCCAACUCAGGAUUCAUAUAUAUAUAAUAUUUGAUUAGAUUGGAGGAAGGCAUUUCCUUGAUUAGCUCUAUUCUCCCAGCAAGUCCGUCUCACCUCUGCCGUGGUAGUGGAAAAACAAACAUGUUACCUAGCACAGUGAGCUCACACCUUGAAUCCCAGCACUUGAGGAGGCAGAGGCAAGCGCAUCUCUGUGAGUUCGAGGCCAGCCAGGACUACAAAGUGAGACCCUCUCAAAGCAAAACACCAACAGAGAUGCCCCUGUCUGUUGUGAGCAAAGAAACCCAGAGUGGAGCUGACUGAUGGAAGCAUGUCCUACUACGGCGAGUCUUCGGUGGUGUGUGAGCCACCAGUGUCCUUAUUGUCUAAAGGUCUCAGUGAAUGAAGAAGAGUCUAGACCAAUCAAUCACCCAGCACACAGAGCCGCUUGCUGAAGUACAGAGAGGAGGGGGAUCAGCACAAAGACCAGUUUGCUCCCACAAAAUACACUUGAAAAAACAAAAAGCC